GUCCACGCCCUAAACGAUGCGAACUGGACGUUGGGAGCAACUAGGCUCUCAGUGUCGAAGCUAACGCGUUAAGUUAGCCGCCUGGGGAGUACGGUCGCAAGACUGAAACUCAAAGGAAUUGACGGGGGCCCGCACAAGCGGUGGAGUAUGUGGUUUAAUUCGAUGCAACGCGAAGAACCUUACCUGGUCUUGACAUCCACGGAAGUCUGCAGAGAUGCGGAUGUGCCUUCGGGAACCGUGAGACAGGUGCUGCAUGGCUGUCGU
rnacentral:rRNA from 1 species